rnacentral:rRNA from 1 species
CAGCCGCCGCGGGAAUACAGAGGGUGCGAGCGUUAAUCGGAUUUACUGGGCGUAAAGCGUGCGUAGGCGGCUUCUUAAGUCGGAUGUGAAAUCCCUGAGCUUAACUUAGGAAUUGCAUUCGAUACUGGGAAGCUAGAGUAUGGGAGAGGAUGGUAGAAUUCCAGGUGUAGCGGUGAAAUGCGUAGAGAUCUGGAGGAAUACCGAUGGCGAAGGCAGCCAUCUGGCCUAAUACUGACGCUGAGGUACGAAAGCAUAAGGAGCAAACAGGAUUAGAUACCCGAGUAGUCCCUGUCUCUUAUAC